AUGAACGCUAAGUACUUGGUGUUAUUUGGACAUAAAUUAUGAACUUUGUCAAAAGAAACCACAUUUGUUCCGGACCUGGAAUGCCUUCCGGACCUGGGAUCCUGCCUUCUGAUGGAGAUAAUCAAAGAGGACCUGAGGCCUUGGACCAUGCCUCAGGACUACCUGGCAUGAUGACUUCAUGCUGUCCCCAGUCCACCUGGCCGUGCUGCUGCUCCAGUUUCAACUGUUCUGCCUGCGGCUAUGGAACCCUGACCUGUUCACCGGGCGUGCGACCUGUCCCAGACCUGCUGUUUUCAACUCUCUAGAGACAGCAGGAGCGGUAGAGAUACUCUCACUGAUCGGCUAUGAAAAGCC
rnacentral:lncRNA from 1 species